ensembl:rRNA 5S_rRNA 5S ribosomal RNA
CUACAGCCAUGCCACCCUGAUGGCCAUGCUAUCAGACGGGAUCAGACUUGAUCCCGUCUGAUAUCGGAAGCUAAGCAGGGUCAGGCCUGAUUAGUACUUGGAUGAGAGACCACCUAGGAAGACCAGGUGCUGUAGAUG